CGAACGGGUGAGUAAUACAUAAGUAACCUGCCCUAGACAGGGGGAUAACUAUUGGAAACGAUAGCUAAGACCGCAUAGGUACGGACACUGCAUGGUGACCGUAUUAAAAGUGCCUCAAAGCACCGGUAGAGGAUGGACUUAUGGCGCAUUAGCUGGUUGGCGGGGUAACGGCCCACCAAGGCGACGAUGCGUAGCCGACCUGAGAGGGUGACCGGCCACACUGGGACUGAGACACGGCCCAGACUCCUACGGGAGGCAGCAUG
rnacentral:rRNA from 1 species